rnacentral:rRNA from 1 species
CCUACGGGAGGCAGCAGUAGGGAAUAUUGGGCAAUGGAGGCAACUCUGACCCAGCCAUGCCGCGUGCAGGAAGAAGGCGUUAUGCGUUGUAAACUGCUUUUAUAUAGGAAGAAAUAGACCUUGCGAGGUAAGUUGACGGUACUAUAUGAAUAAGCACCGGCUAACUCCGUGCCAGCAGCCGCGGUAAUACGGAGGGUGCAAGCGUUGUCCGGAUUUAUUGGGUUUAAAGGGUGCGUAGGCGGUUUAUUAAGUCAGUGGUGAAAGACGGUCGCUCAACGAUUGCAGUGCCAUUGAUACUGGUAGACUUGAGUGGGAUUGAGGUAGCUGGAAUGGAUAGUGUAGCGGUGAAAUGCAUAGAUAUUAUCCAGAACACCAAUUGCGUAGGCAAGUUACUAAGUCUCAACUGACGCUGAGGCACGAAAGUGUGGGUAUCAAACAGGAUUAGAUACCCUGGUAGUCCACACUGUAAACGAUGAUAACUAACUGUUGGCUUUCGGGUCAGUGGUACAGAGAAAUCGUUAAGUUAUCCACCUGGGGAGUACGCCGGCAACGGUGAAACUCAAAGGAAUUGACGGCUGAGACGNGCGAGACGACGACGAGGGAGGAGG